rnacentral:tRNA from 1 species
GCCUGGGUGGCUCAGUCGGUUGAGCGUCCAACUUCAGCUCAAGUCAUGAUCUCACAGUUUGUGGGUUCGAGCCCCGCAUCAGGCU